GCCCGGAUAGUUCAGUGGUAGAACGCUUUCUUGGUAAGAAAGAGAUCGAGGGUUCGAUUCCCUCUCCGGGCU
rnacentral:tRNA from 1 species